rnacentral:rRNA from 1 species
CACGUAGGGGCGAGCGUUGUCCGGAAUUACUGGGCGUAAAGGGCGCGCAGGCUGUUAUGCGAGUCUGCUGUGAAAUGUACCGGCUCAACCGGUGCCUUGCGGCGGAUACUGCAUAGCUGGAGUACUGGAGAGGGAAGUGGAAUUCCCGGUGUAGCGGUGAAAUGCGUAGAGAUAUGGAGGAACACCAGUGGCGAAGGCGGCUUCCUGGUCUGUAACUGACGCUGAGGCUCGAAAGCGUGGGGAGCAAACAGGAUUAGA